rnacentral:rRNA from 1 species
GUGGGGAAUAUUGGACAAUGGGUGGAACCCUGAUCCAGCCAUGCCGCGUGUGUGAAGAAGGCCUUUUGGUUGUAAAGCACUUUAAGCGAGGAGGAGGCUACCGAGAUUAAUACUCUUGGAUAGUGGACGUUACUCGCAGAAUAAGCACCGGCUAACUCUGUGCCAGCAGCCGCGGUAAUACAGAGGGUGCAAGCGUUAAUCGGAUUUACUGGGCGUAAAGCGCGCGUAGGUGGCCAAUUAAGUCAAAUGUGAAAUCCCCGAGCUUAACUUGGGAAUUGCAUUCGAUACUGGUUGGCUAGAGUAUGGGAGAGGAUGGUAGAAUUCCAGGUGUAGCGGUGAAAUGCGUAGAGAUCUGGAGGAAUACCGAUGGCGAAGGCAGCCAUCUGGCCUAAUACUGACACUGAGGUGCGAAAGCAUGGGGAGCAAACAGGAUUAGAUACCCCUGUAGUCC